GAUGAACGCUGGCGGCGUGCCUAAUACAUGCAAGUCGAGCGAACGGACGAGAAGCUUGCUUCUCUGAUGUUAGCGGCGGACGGGUGAGUAACACGUGGAUAACCUACCUAUAAGACUGGGAUAACUUCGGGAAACCUGAGCUAAUACCGGCUAAUAUUUUGAACCGCAUGGUUCAAAAGUGAAAGACGGUCUUGCUGUCACUUAUACAUGGAUCCGCGCUGCAUUAGCUAGUUGGUAAGGUAACGGCUUACCAAGGCAACGAUGCGUAGCCGACCUGAGAGGGUGAUCGGCCACACUGGAACUGAGACACGGUCCAGACUCCUACGGGAGGCAGCAGUAGGGAAUAUUCCACAAUGGGCGAAAGCCUGACGGAGCAACGCCGCGUGAGUGAUGAAGGUCUUCGGAUCGUAAAACUCUGUUAUUAGGGAAGAACAUAUGUGUAAGUAACUGUGCCUGUCUUGACGGUACCUAAUGAGAAAGCCACGGCUAACUACGUG
rnacentral:rRNA from 1 species